CUCCCCAUGACAUCAAGUGACAUUUCUAACCCUAAAUGUGAGAAAGGCUGUCCAGGAAAAGAGAAUAUAACAAAAGAAAUGUGUGUGUGUGUGUGUGUGUGUGUGUGUGUGUGUGUGUGUAUGUUGCCGAUUUCUUUCAAGUUUGUUCCUAUGUAUGCUAUCUCUUUUGCUACUAUUUUAACAGGGGAGGAGGGUUUUCCAUUUUAUCUUCUAAAAGGUUGCUAUUUGUAUAUUAGAAAAUGCAAGCAAAGAAUUCUGUAAAGAGGCACCAU